rnacentral:misc_RNA from 1 species
GGAGAACUGAAACUAGCCACUAUAUAAGGUUCAAAGCCUGUUCAAACCCUUAAACCGUUGACCUGGGCUGGUCCAGGAUUUGACAUGGGUCAGGCCUGAUCCAGUUCAAGGCUUGAACAGGCCCCUGGCAAAGUCUAUUAUCAACCAUUCUUAGCAUAAAUGUUCAUGCUGUCAUGCAUAAUUUAUCGGCAAAUUAUUAGGUGCACCGAAUACUUAUAUAAAAGCAGUUGCACCAUAAGAUUAGGAAGGUAGAACCCAUUGCUUUGUGGGUGAAGGUGUACAUGCACACUAUAAUUUAUCUAAUUUAUCCCCAUCUAUACCUAUCAAAUUAAAAAAAUG